AACCUGAGGGAUGCAGUGAUGGAGGACACAAUCUGACUAAUAAGGCGGUUAAGGUUAGUGUAGGUUGGGCGCUCAAUAUCGAGGUUUCUACGACAGAUGUCAUAGAUGGCCUCAUUGUCAACCAUGAAGGCACAAUCAGAGUGCUCCAGGGUGGUGUGGGUGGUGAGGAUGGAGUUGUAGGGCUCAACUACAGCUGUGGAGACCUGGGGGGCUGGGUAAAUGGAGAAUUCCAGCUUGGACUUCUUGCCAUAAUCGACAGAGAGCCGUUCCAUCAGCAGGGAGGUGAACCCAGAACCAGUGCCCCCACCAAAGCUGUGGAAAACCAAGAAGCCCUGAAGGCCUGUGCACUGGUCAGCCUGUCAGGAAAGAACAGAGGAAACAUAGUUAUUGCUUUUUGUGAUGUAUUUUCACUUUUCAUACAUUCCAAUGAUCUAAAUCUUAUUUGGACAGGAAACACUU